UGUGGUUUAAUUCGAAGCAACGCGAAGAACCUUACCAGGUCUUGACAUCCCGAUGCUAUUCUAGAGAUAGAAAGUUACUUCGGUACAUCGGUGACAGGUGGUGCAUGGUUGUCGUCAGCUCGUGUCGUGAGAUGUUGGGUUAAGUCCCGCAACGAGCGCAACCCCUAUUGUUAGUUGCCAUCAUUCAGUUGGGCACUCUAGCGAGACUGCCGGUAAUAAACCGGAGGAAGGUGGGGAUGACGUCAAAUCAUCAUGCCCCUUAUGACCUGGGCUACACACGUGCUACAAUGGUUGGUACAACGAGUUGCGAGUCGGUGACGGCGAGCUAAUCUCUUAAAGCCAAUCUCAGUUCGGAUUGUAGGCUGCAACUCGCCUACAUGAAGUCGGAAUCGCUAGUAAUCGCGGAUCAGCACGCCGCGGUCGAAUACGUUCCCGGGCCUU
rnacentral:rRNA from 1 species